AAAAUAAUCAAACCCAGAAUGCCAAAACUAAUAACACAUCACAAAAAAGUUAUUUGUGGAAAAAUAAAGCUACAUUUGCAUUUGAUCCCCUAAAUUGCACAAUAGAAACCAGUUCAAUAUACCCAUAAACAUAUCCAUGGAUAACACCCAUAUAAUAGAGAGUGAGGCAUUUAAAUCGAUGGAUCUUUCUAGCCAAAUUUACAAACUUUCCCUAGCAAGAAAGUUG
rnacentral:lncRNA from 1 species